GCCUGGGUGGCUCAGUCGGCUGAGCGUCUGGCUUCGGCUCAGGUCAUGAUCUCAUGGUUUGUGAGUUCGAGCCCCGCGUCAGGCU
rfam:Felis catus isolate Cinnamon breed Abyssinian chromosome A2, whole genome shotgun sequence.